CAGUGUUACAGCUCUUUUAGAAUUUGUACAGCAGGUUUUCUGGUUUCUACCAGAAAAUCCCC
rnacentral:snRNA from 1 species